UGGGGAAUAUUGCGCAAUGGGCGAAAGCCUGACGCAGCAACGCCGCGUGAGGGAUGACGGCCUUCGGGUUGUAAACCUCUUUCAGCAGGGAAGAAGCGAAAGUGACGGUACCUGCAGAAGAAGCACCGGCUAACUACGUGCCAGCAGCCGCGGUAAUACGUAGGGUGCAAGCGUUGUCCGGAUUUAUUGGGCGUAAAGAGCUCGUAGGCGGUUAGUCACGUCGGAUGUGAAAACUCAGAGCUUAACUCUGAGCCUGCAUUCGAUACGGGCUGACUAGAGUGUUGUAGGGGAGACUGGAACUCCUGGUGUAGCGGUGAAAUGCGCAGAUAUCAGGAAGAACACCGGUGGCGAAGGCGGGUCUCUGGGCAACUACUGACGCUGAGGAGCGAAAGCGUGGGGAGCAAACA
rnacentral:rRNA from 1 species